CAAUCCAGAGUCACACCAGCUAGAGCCCUCCCACACUUCUUAAUUGGAAUUCUUCUGUAAAGAAAGUUGUUACUUGUCCCUCUUAUUUUUCAUUCAAUCAUUUAUUUAUGUUGGUAUGGAUUUGUGAAUAUUUAUUUUAUUCUUUGGUCUAUAUCUGAUAUAUGUUUCUUUCUUUUGUUGCUCAAAUUGUUUCAGUGUUGGGCAUUCUCUUUUAGGUUGUCAGAUUGGUUCUUACAUACUUUGGACAUAACUCCAGCUGUUUUUUAAAAGAACUUUCUUACUUAUUGGCACCACAAAAUGCUCUAGGCUCAUCUUGUAUAGUUCAUAGAUUUUAAAAUUCUUUUACUUUUAUUUUGAUAAGUUUUCAGAAGAAAGUAGAGAAGCAACAUAUGUUCAAUACAAUGUUUUUCCCCAACAUUUUUUGAUCAUAAAGAUUUUGUUUCUUAUGAUGUUGUUGUCAUUUUAAUUUUUAUCCACUGUUGCCUAAAUAAUCUCUGAAGUAGACAUCUGUUUGGAGGAGUGCCUCCAGUCUCUGUUUGUCCAGAAACAGUAACCAGAAUUCCCCCACCCCCAUCCUUAGCCUGGUAUGCUGGGAGCUGUCAACCCCAGACUCCAGCACAGGAGCACUUACUUGGACCAUUUGGUACCUUACAUCUUGGUCAGAGCCAGCAAACCACAAGAAAGCCUUUUUCAUGGCUCCUAGGAAGGAGAAGCCUUCCCUUGAUGCCAUUGAAGAGACUGGGAGAAAUGUUCUCCCUUUCCUUGGAUGAAGACAUAUUCCAAGACCUCAGGUCUUGAACUGCUGCAGCCACUUUGUCACCAUGAGCUGAGAGUCAGGAGCUGCUAUAGGGAGCUGUCUCCAUGUGGAACCUGAGGGUGAAGCCAACCCUGGAAGGGAGAGGAGCCAGAAACAGCAUUGCUGCUAUAGGAAGCCUCACCUGACCUCCGUUUGGACAUCUGACCCAUGCACCAAUAUACUCCCUUUAUGGUUGAAGCCAGUGUGUAUCACCUUUUCUGGCACCUUUAUUCCUAAUAUGAUCUCAUUCUUAUAGAAAUUGUGCGUAACACCUUAAAUGUGCAACCAGGGAAUGCAAUAGAGAUAAUACUCAAUUGCUCUGUAAAUAUUUUGAAUCAAGCACAUCUUAUUUUAUAUUCCCAGAUUGGCAUGCACUUAUUUUUGUCAUUUUGAUAAUUUUGAUUUGUUUUUUAUUUAUCUAAAUAAGUUUAUAUUGCUUACAACUAAUAUAUUAAAACAAAGUAAAACAAAAAUUAGCUUUCUGAUUCUUGUGCUCUUCUUUAGGAACUUAAAUUUCUGAACACUGAAUGCUGUGUAUAUGAUGUGCUUCUUUAAUCAUUGGUCAUUUAACGAACUCCUAAGGUCUUAACUGUCUUUGAUUUGGAUAUUUUUCUGACCACCCACCUUGCCCUUCUUAGUGGGUGGCUCAGGCAGCUGUGUGGGGAGACAGAACUUCUUUGGAGAGCAGUGGAGCAAAAACAAGUAUGAAAACAAUGAACCUGGAUUCUAAUUUGGGGCCUUUCAUCUCUUAUCUUUGUGGUCUAGGCUGGAUCACUCCUCUGUUACCUUGGGGCAAGAUAAUGGCUUCUCUGCUUCACAGCAGACACUAAGAAUCCUGAAUCACCAAUUCAAGAGAACCUAUGCACCCCAAUAUUCACAGCAGCAUUAUUUACGAUAGCUAAGUGCUGGAAACAGCCUAAGUGCCCAUCAGUAAAUGAGUGGAUCAAAAAAACUGGCAGAUUUACACAAUGGAAUACUACUGGCAGCAGAAAGAAGGAAAUCCUAUCCUUCAUGACAGUGUGGGUGGAACUUUAUGCUAAGAGCAUUAUGCUAAGUGAAAUAAGCCAGGCAGUGAAAGAGGAAUACCACAUGUUCUCACCUAUAAGUGGAACCUAAGCAACAAAACGAACAAAGUAUCAAAAUAGAACCAGAGACAUGGAA